GACGGAGGGGGUAAGCGUUAUCCGGAAUUAUUGGGCGUAAAGGGUACGUAGGCGGCGGGUCAAGUCUGUGGUCAAAGGCCACAGCUCAACUGUGGGAAGGCCCUGGAAACUGACCGGAUAGAGUGAGGUAGGGGUUGAGGGAAUUCCCUGUGUAGCGGUGAAAUGCGUAGAGAUCGGGAAGAACACGUGAGGCGGAAGCGCGCAACUGGGCCUCAACUGACGAUGAGGUACGAAAGCUAGGGGAGCGAAUGGG
rnacentral:rRNA from 1 species